ensembl:lncRNA
UUUGUUUAGUUGCACAAACUGUAGUCUGCAUAAAUCCUAAUGGCCUCAAAAUCCUUCAUUUGUUUUAUAAUAACUAGAUGAAGAAUAGCCUGCUUGUGUAUGGAAUAUUUGCUAUAUGAAGAAGAUCUAUAAACUACUCUGCUGUUAUGUUUUUGCUUUUUCCAGCUAAUGGUGAAAUUUUACAGGAAAGGUACUUGGAUUGUCACUCCAUCAUCUUUAUUGCACAGCACUUGAGUAAUGAACACAAAUUAGUACUGAAUGCAUUUAAACUUUAAUUCCAUUUGCAAUCAUGGAAUACACUGAUUUGGAAUGGAUCCACAAAGAUCAUCAAGUCUUACUCCUGACUAUACAUAGGACUGUAUGAAUACUUCUUUGUUUUUUGGCUUAAAGCUUGCUUUCUGAGGCAUUUCUUGCGAUAAGACUCUGAGUUAGAUGAGAGAUGGGUGUUGCUGUGUGGCAAUCAACAUCACUGUGUGGACCAUUUUACAUUUGAAAGCAUUUCUCUGGAGCUAUUUGCCUCCGGAAGAGAGUGCUCAGGAGUGGUUACUGGUGGAAGAUCUGGCCUGUGACUAAAUAGCCCCAGGUUGGUGUGGGAAAACUGGGGAAUGAUACCAUCGUGUCCUGUGAAAAACAGGAUUCAGAUGGACAUCCCUGCUCCCUCUUAUUUGCUGGCAAGGCCCGGAAGAUAGUAACAAAGCAGUUUCUGCUGAAUCCCAGAGCCAGUAGCUGCCACUCCAAGGAGAGCUGACUCAACCACUUUGGAUUUGAGCUGUCACUCAAAAGAGAGCUGAUUUGACCAGUUUUGACUUAUAAAUAAGUUUGUACUGCCAUUGCCGUUGUCGUUGUCAUCUCUGUGGACACUGUUGUCAACAGAACAACAACGCCCGAUGACCCACCACUACUGAAGAUAAGUGACUGAACUACGAACCACGCUGGACCCACGGUGGUGACUAUCAUCUCCUUCUUGCCACCUAUAGAGACUCCUUGCUCCUAUUUCCUAUCUUUUCUGCUGCCCUUCUUCCCUUCCCCAUCACCCUAAUUUGUACCUAUAAAGACUCCUUGCUUCUAUUUCCUGUCUUUUCUAUUGCUCUCCUUCCCUUCCCCAUCACCCCAAUCUGUAAUAGUGUCCGUCCUCCCUUUCCCCAUCUCCCUUAUCAAGAUUUGUAAUAAACUGGUUGGAC